GCAACUGUUUAGCAAAAACAUAGGUUUAUGCAAAACCGUAAGGUGAAGUAUAUGAGCUGACGCCUGCCCGGUGCUGGAAGGUUAAGAGGAGAUGUUAGAGCAAUCGAAGCAUUGAAUUGAAGCCCCAGUAAACGGCGGCCGUAACUAUAACGGUCCUAAGGUAGCGAAAUUCCUUGUCAGGUAAGUUCUGACCCGCACGAAAGGCGUAAUGUCUUUGGGCACUGUCUCAACAAUAGACUCGGUGAAAUCAUAUUACCGGUGAAAAUGCCGGUUACCCGCGAUUAGACGGAAAGACCCCAUGGAGCUUUACUGUAGCUUGAUAUUGAUAUUCGGUAAGUAAUGUACAGGAUAGGCGGGAGACUAUGAGACUAGGACGUCAGUCUUGGUGGAGUCGCCGUUGGGAUACCGCCCUUUGCUUAUUGAGUAUCUAACUAGCGUUAGUGGAUAACGAAGGACAGUGUCAGGUGGGCAGUUUGACUGGGGCGGUCGCCUCCUAAAGAGUAACGGAGGCGCUCGAAGGUUCCCUCAGAAUGGUUGGAAAUCAUUCGAAGAGUGUAAAGGCAGAAGGGAGCUUGACUGAAAGACCUACAAGUCGAUCAGGGACGAAAGUCGGACUUAGUGAUCUUGCGGUACCACGUGGAAGGGCCGUGACUCAACGGAUAAAAGCUACCCUGGGGAUAACAGGCUGAUCAUGCCCAAGCGUUCACAGCGACGGCAUGGUUUGGCACCUCGAUGUCGGCUCGUCGCAUCCUGGAGGUGGAGAAGCUUCCAAGGGUUGGGCUGUUCGCCCAUUAAAGCGGCACGCGAGCUGGGUUCAAAACGUCGUGAGACAGUUUGGUCCCUAUCUGUCGUGGGCGUUGGAAAUUUGAGGAGAGCUGUCCUUAGUACGAGAGGACCGGGAUGGACCCACCGCUGGUGCACCAGUUGGCCUGCCAGGGCCACAGCUGGGUAGCUAUGUGGGGACGGGAUAAACGCUGAAAGCAUCUAAGCGCGAAGCCCCCUUCAAGAUGAGAUUUCCCAACGAAAGUUGUAAGUUCCCUUAAAUACUAUGAGGUUGAUAGGCCAGGUGUGGAAGUGCAGUGAUGCAUGGAGCUGACUGGUACUAAUAGAACGAGGACUUAACCUA
rnacentral:rRNA from 1 species